rnacentral:pre_miRNA from 1 species
AAAGUACUCCCUCCGUCCCAAAAUUCUUGUCUUAGAUUUGUCUAGAUAUGGAUGUAUCAAGUCACAUUUUAGUAUUAGAUACAUCCGUAUCUGGACAAAUCUAAGACAAAAAAUUUGGGACAGAGGGAGUAGUUG